rnacentral:lncRNA from 1 species
CGAGCGUUGCUCGUGGCUUCGAGCUGCAGGGCGACGGGCUGACGAGCGGCGACGGCAGGAACGAUGACGCGGCGUCGGGUGCUGGGUCACGAGCGGAACUCGGACGCGGGCGUCGGGCACUGGUGUCGGGCGGUCAGAGGCACAGCAACGGCGGCGAGCGGGCAGAGGUGCGGAGGCGCGGGUUGCAGGCGUGACGAGCUACUGGUACGGUGGCGAGCAGGCUGAGGUGCAGCUGUGGAGUUGCAGAUGUCGCUGGUGGCAGGCAGAGGCCGGCACGGCGACCAGCGGCCGCGGGCAGAGCAGGAGCAGCGUCAGGUGAUCACGGGUCGGUGCGGGCUACAGGCGAGGCGGGACGCGACGGUGGCUGGUGGCACGGCGACCGGCUCGUCGGCGCUCGGGCGGAGGGGCAGGUUUCAGCAGCAGCCAGCGGACUUCAGGGGGGUGCGGAGGCCGGCUCGGGUGGAGGUGCUGUUUGCAGAAGCAGCGGUGGCGGGCGGUGAUGGUGGCCCGCUCGGGGCUCACUGGAAGGAGAUACUGGCGUCGGUCAGAGGUGCAGCAACGAGGACGGUGGCGCGCGAGGGCAGAGGCGCGGCGGCGGGCUCGGAGCUCGCCGGAAGGAGGAAAGCGGCGGGUGGGCGGCUGCAGCGCCGGGCGACCAGCAGCAGCAAGGAACUCCCGAAGAAGAUGAGCAGUAGGGGUCUUUUCCUCUCUUUUUUUUUUGCUGUUCGGUCACUUCUUUUCUGUCUCUCUCUCACGUCUCACUCUCUGCAGUCUCUCUUUCUGCUUUUUGAACGAAGGAGAAGCUCCCCUCCCAAUGAAAUUUUUUCCUUUUUUCCCUUUGUCUGACCGAAGGAGAAGCCCCUCACAAUGGAAUUUUUUUCUCUUUUCCCCUCCAUCGACGCGGCUUCUUGUGGUCUUAUUUAUAGGCCGUCCAUUGCCUCUUGAAGAUAGCCAACAUUAUUGUGACAAGAUGUAGCGCAACUUUUCCAGAAUUUAAGGGUGCGCAUGGAAACACUUCUGUUUCUUUUUUGUUCCUGGGAACAGAAAUAAAAAAAAGUGUUUCUGUUCCGAGGAACAAUUUCUGAACAAAAGAACGCGUUUGGUAAGUGUAAAAAAAAACUGCUCUUGGAAUAAAAAAAGAAUAGAAACAUGUUUGGUAACUGCAGUCAAUUUCUGUUCCUAGAAUAGAAAAAGAACAGAAACACGUUUGGUAAACGACAAAAAAAUUUCUGUUUUAUUUUUUAUUUUUUAUUUUUAAAAUUUUUUUUAAUAAAGUUUAAAAUUGAUAUUGAAUUCUAAUUCUUAUGAAAUGCUCAUUAAUUUUAUUUUGUUCAUGGUUAGUGAAGACAAACAUUUUUAGCAUGAUCAUAUAGCAUAUUUCGUAGAAAAUGUUUUGUAUCAAAUUUUUUUCAACAUGCUCAUAUGUGCGCCCUUAAACGAAAAUUUCAUACAUCUCAACAUGAACUAGUUACUUUUUUUUAUUUUUCUAGGCAACGCAGCCAAUCGAAUAAUUGUUCUUUUUUGCUUUUACUCAAGUAAAAAUAUUCGCUGCCAACUAGUUUUCUGAAAUUUCAUUUGUUUAGUUGGCUAAAAAUGAUUAUGGUCAAAGAUACAUGUAUACUCAAAGUUAAAAAAAUAAAUUUUCUAACUUGAAAAUGGACAUUUUCUUGGAAAAUUAUUUCGAAAAAAAUUAUUUUCUUUAAUCAUGAAAUUGUUCUUGAAACAUACGCCGCCUUGAGUUGCUUCGAGAGAUGCGCAAUGUGGCUGUUGCGACAGCAAUUAGCAACAAUAUGGAAUUAUUCACUUGUGCAAUUCAUUGUAAUCUGGAAAGUAAUGCCAGAACAAGGGUCAGGCGUUCAGGUUAGGGAAAGAAUGGCAGAUCCCUCCAAUGAAAUGUCGUUCACUGGCCAUGUGCGAAGACCUUGCUUCCCAAAAUUAUGCUGGGGCAGCUGAUGCGGACUGCUAUCUGAAAAGCUUUCAGGAAGUAGAGCCACUUUAUAGAGACGCCAGAGGAAGUGCUCUGUCUCUCCAAUCCUUGCCUGUCUGUCGGUCCAAGCUAUUCACAAGAUGUGUGGCCUGGUCCCUCAUCCGGGACUCAGAUAUGGAAUCGUUGCGUUAUUUUUAAAAUUUUUUUUAAUAAAGUUUAAAAUUGAUAUUGAAUUCUAAUUCUUAUGAAAUGCUCAUUAAUUUUAUUUUGAUAUACUAACUUGCACCAACUUUUACUAAAGAUCAGGAAUCUUAAAGAUCUAGAAUACGGAUGAACUGUGCUCUAAGACUGCAAACUCAAUGAAGUUCACUGCUUGCAAUCAAAAUAAUCGAACCUUUACAAUUUUUUAUUUUCAUAACAUGCUUGUUUUCUACAUAAUUAUUUCAACCUUAAAGGGAAUACAGAACAGAAAGCAGUCCAGUACAUGAAAAAUUCAACUGCCUGCUCUUUCAACACUAAGAGAGGAAACACUACAGAACCUAUUUACAGCAAUUCAAAAGGUAAAUUUUGCCUAAAGACUUUUCACAGCCAAAACUUUCCCCACCCUCCUUUUACAGUUUUGAGAUAUUCCUACAGCGUCAAGAAGUUAAUACUUCUUCAGCGUGUUCCUCAGCCGAAUGAAGCACCAAGUUUUAGCCAGGGUCCUGUACUUCCUCCAGCCGCCAAAGUAUCUUCCUAUCACUUUUUUGUAGGAAGGCCUUUGCUGAACCAAACUCCAGUAUUUGGCCAUGUUUGGCCUGCUGUUUAUAUACUCGUCUUCCAAAUUCAAGAGUGCCAAACGAGCUAGCACCGGAAUGAACAUUACGUCUGCCAUGCUGAACUCUUCCCCUGCAAUAUAAGCCGUCUUGCUCAACCUGUCUGCCAUGCUGAACUCUUCCCCUGCAAUAUAAGUCUUGCUCAAACUGUCCUCAAUUUCAUCGAGAAGUCUGAUUAGAUGUUCCUUGCUCCGCCUUACAACCUCUGGGUCUCUCAGCUUCUCUUCGGUGUGAUAUGCCUCUUUUAGCUUGCGGUGGUAGGAACUUGCCAGGUCAGGUGACUCGGCCAUCCGAGCAAUCAAGACUCUCCUAAAAAACUUGGACACUGCUUGCCGAUACUUCUCAGGGACGUGGGAUAAUGUGAAAAACUUUGGAUUCCACUCCUGUAUUUUAUGCAUCCAUUGAAUGACCUCAUCACUGCUGAAGGCGAUGCUAUCAUUAUUAACAGAGACAACUGCAAUUCUCUCUAUAUACCUGUAAAUUUCUAAAGCAUUAUAAACUUCCACAAAAGAAGAGAAUCAAGACAGACAGACAGAAUAAAUCUGCAAAGAAUAUGGUACAUAAAGAAUAUGGUACAUAAUAGAGCAGUUAGCAUGAUUCAAAAGUACAACUUUUCUACCAAUAUUAACACACGUCACUCGUUUGAGAUUACAAGUUUGACAACCAUCACCCCUCUCAGAUAAGACUAAGGUUUUGCUAAUCUAAAAGGUCCACUCUAUACUGUGAUGAAACAUAGUCAAAAUCAAAAGAGAAACUAGAGGCUUCAAAAAACUUCUUGGCAUCCCCAACGAAUUAAUACACAAGCAUUGAAGAACAUUUAUUGACAUACCCAUUUUGAGUAAAAGAAGAAUCUCUAGCAUAUCUUAGUCUGUGGCCAUCAGCAAUUACCUCCCCAAGGAAACAAACCAGACAGCAGUUCAGACAAACGUCAACAGUGAAACCCAUUCAACAAUCCUCCUUUCAGCACCCAAUCUCCAAUAUAGUCACUUAGUCAGGUUAGGCCUCACACGAUGUACGGUUCCACAAAAACCCAAAAAAAGCGCUGAACUGAGACGCCUAAAAGCUCCAAAACCAAAAGGUUCAUUUUCCAGCAGGAAAGCAUUUAAAUUUUGCAGACAGUAAGAUUAGAAUAAAGGAAGUAUUCCCGAUUCAGUUAACAAAUACACACAACGAACUCACACCAACUCUUGUCGUGCUUAGAACAGUAUUGACGGUUCAAGAAAGGGGCAAAACGGGUCCCGCCACUUCUAAUUUGGCCAUCAAUACAGCAAGGAAUUCCAACGAAGAACUUCACGAGGCGAUCAAGAACGGUCUAGACCACACGGUCGAAAGAGGUUCGACUGACCGGAUGACAUGCAGAACCAGAACCGCCACGCCCCCCACUCCAACACUCCAACCCCAACUCAAGACCCGCUGAAGUCAACGCGCGCAAGCACGAUCAAGUUCACAACAAGAGCCCGCAGCGCAGCGAGCAAAUUGACCAGGGAAUCAAACUAAAACGGAAACAGCACGCAGCAACGACGAGAGAACCAAACGAAGAAGGACGGCCAAGUGUCGAGCGCGAUCGAGACAGAUGGGGUGGUCGGACGGAACCUUACCCAGAAAGCGUCGACACUUCUAGAGAUAACUUCGACUUUUGCUUCCCACAACAGACAACAGAAAACUACAAGAACCAAGACGAAUACUAGUAAACUCCAGGAGUUGUUAUAAGGACAACACUUUUAAGCCUUCGUUACCGUUCAAAGUCACCUGUUACAGCACAACCCACCUAAAUUUUUCAAUGGACAAUCUUCUGCAGGCACGCGAGGUUUUGCUACACGAACCAAGAUGAAGAAUUCCAUCACUUACCGAGAGGGUAUCCACCCAGAGCUGAGAGACGAACCCCAAGCCAAGAGCAGAUUCGAUGCUGAUCACUUGCUUCGCCACCAUGCUCGAUCGCCUCAUCACCUGUCGCCCACCCCUCGCCCUCAAUUUACUCUCCGAUUCCUCUUCGCUCCUCAACGCGACGCCGGCAUCGCCGCCGUCGCCGCUUAGGAGCACCUCCUCCUCUUCCACACCGGACCGCGCCGGCUUUUCGGCGCCCAAGUUUCCGCCUUCCGCCGCAUCACUCCCGCCGCUCCCACUUCCCUCCCUCGAUCCCGCGCCGCCGCCUCGGUCCGUCUCCGAGCUGCGCCGCCGCAUCACUGGAGCUGCUGCUCGAGCGAAGGGGGAGCUCGAGCCGGAGAAGGAGCGCCGAAGGGGGAGCAACGCUGACCGGAGGAGGAGCGCCGAAGGGGGAGCAACGCUUACCGGAGAAGGAGGAGCACCGGAAACGUACCUGGAGUCGCCGGAGUGAGGAGUCGCCGGAGAGUCAGCCGAGUGGGAGCCGCCGGAGAGAUGGGAGAGACGCCGGAAAAGGAAGAACGAAGCUUCAGCCGACGAGAGGAGCGACGAGCACGCACGAAGGAGAAGAGUUCGUCGCCUUUGUUCCGAUUUUGUUCUUUUGUUUCUUUGGUUUUUGUUCUUUUG